rnacentral:rRNA from 1 species
UACGUAGGGGGCAAGCGUUGUCCGGAUUUAUUGGGCGUAAAGAGCGUGUAGGCGGCCAGACAGGUCCGUUGUGAAAACUCGAGGCUCAACCUCGAGACGUCGACGGAAACCGUCUGGCUAGAGUCCGGAAGAGGAGUGUGGAAUUCCUGGUGUAGCGGAGUAGAAUGCGAGCAGAUAUCAGGAAGAACACCUAUGGCGAAGGCAGCACUCUGGGACGGUACUGACGCUGAGACGCGAAAGCGUGGGGAGCGAACAGG